GACGAACGCUGGCGGCGUGCUUAACACAUGCAAGUCGAACGGAAAGGCCCUGCUUUUGUGGGGUGCUCGAGUGGCGAACGGGUGAGUAACACGUGAGUAACCUGCCCUUGACUUUGGGAUAACUUCAGGAAACUGGGACUAAUACCGGAUAGGAGCUCCUGCUGCAUGGUGGGGGUUGGAAAGUUUCGGCGGUUGGGGAUGGACUCGCGGCUUAUCAGCUUGUUGGUGGGGUAGUGGCUUACCAAGGCUUUGACGGGUAGCCGGCCUGAGAGGGUGACCGGGCACAAUGGGACUGGGGUACGGCCCAGACUCCUACGGGAGGCAGCAGGGGGGAAUAUUGCACAAUGGGCGGAAGCCUGAUGCAGCAACGCCGCGUGCGGGAUGACGGCCUUCGGGUUGUAAACCGCUUUCGCCUGUGACGAAGCGUGAGUGACGGUAAUGGGUAAAGAAGCACCGGCUAACUACGUG
rnacentral:rRNA from 1 species